AUGACUCCAGCAAACAAAGGUAGCGAGAAGAAAGGCCAUUCUGCCAUCAAUAUUCACAAGUGCAUACAGAGUGGGCUUCAAGAAGUGUGCCCCUCUGGCACUCAGAGAGAUCCAGAAACUUGCCAUGAAGGAGAUGGGAACUCCAGAUGUGCUCAUUGAUGCCAGACUCAACAAAGCUAUCUGAGCUGAAGGAAUAAGGAAUAUCCUCUACUGUAUCCAUGUGUGGUUGUCCAGAAAACGUAAUUAGCAUGAAGAUUCACCAAACAAGCUCUAUACUUUGAUUACCUAUGUACCUGUUACCACUUUCAAAAGUCUACAGACAAAGUGGAUGA
rnacentral:lncRNA from 1 species